AAGGGGGCGCCUGAGUGACACAAUCCGUUAAGCGCCCAACUCCUGGUCUCUUGGUUUCGGUUCAGGUCGGUCAUUAUCUCAAGGUUCACCUGGGUCACCUUCUCUGCAUUUCUCCUCCCUCUCUGCGUCCUGGGCCCAGUUCUUCCUUGACCCAGCCUCCCUCCGUGUCUGGGACUUUGAGACAGAUUGUUGCAUCUCCUGCACAGAAGCAGCAGCCAUACUAGAAUCUACAACCCUGUCUUCUGGCACCAACAACGAGCGGGAAUGGCCCCCAUAUUCCAGAUGGAUGCUGUGAGUCCUCUGCCUUCAGGGAUUCCAGCUCUAUUCUCAGGCUCCAGGUGUGGCGAUACUGGGUCCUUGACCAUCGCUGGACUGCAGCCUGCGGGCGAGGCUGAUUAUCACUGAUAGUCAUAGCAUUUAUCUGCGGUGCUCCAAGCCCACUGGGAAUUGAAGCUUAAAAGGUCAAAGAUGAAAACUAUUAAAGAUGAAGAUUAAAA